rnacentral:rRNA from 1 species
GGCGGCGUGGAUUAGGCAUGCAAGUCGGACGGUCCUUUUAGCUUUUUCGAAAGGAUAGUGGCGAAAGGGUGAGUAACACGUGGGUUACCUGCCCUAGGGAUUGGGAUAACCUGCCGAAAGGUAGGCUAAUACCGGAUACGUCUCACAUCUUGCGAGAUGUGAGGGAAAGACGGGGACCCUUCGGGGCCUGUCGCCCUUGGAUGGGCCCGCGGCCUAUCAGCUUGUUGGUGAGGUAAUGGCUCACCAAGGCUAAGACGGGUAGCUGGUCUGAGAGGAUGGUCAGCCACACUGGGACUGAGACACUGCCCAGACACCUACGGGUGGCUGCAGUCGAGAAUCUUUCGCAAUGGGGGAAACCCUGACGAAGCGACGCCGCGUGCAGGAUGACGGCCUUCGGGUUGUAAACUGCUGUCAGCUGGGACGAAAGGUUUCUGACUAAUAAUCAGAAACCCUGACAGUACCAGCAGAGGAAGCCACGGCUAACUCUGUGCCAGCAGCCGCGGUAAUACAGAGGUGGCUAGCGUUGUUCGGAUUCAUUGGGCGUAAAGGGUCCGUAGGUGGCCCGAAAAGUCGGGUGUGAAAUCCCACAGCUUAACUGUGGAACUGCACUCGAAACUCUCGGGCUGGAGUGCGAGAGGGGUAAAAGGAAUUCCCGGUGUAAGGGUGAAAUCUGCAGAGAUCGGGAGGAACACCAGUCGCGAAGGCGCUUUACUGGCUCGUUACUGACACUGAGGGACGAAAGCUAGGGUAGCAAACGGGAUUAGAUACCCCGGUAGUCCUAGCUGUAAACGAUGAUCACUAGGUGUUGGGGGGGUUAAACCUUCAGUGCCGCCGCUAACGCAUUAAGUGAUCCGCCUGGGGAGUACGGUCGCCAAGGCUGAAACUCAAAGGAAUUGACGGGGAACCCGCACAAAACGGUGGAAGCAUGUGGUUUAAUACGACGAUAC